rfam:Gossypium hirsutum cultivar TM-1 unplaced genomic scaffold scaffold1379.1, whole genome shotgun sequence
UAUUAAAAAUUUCACUCGUUUUUACCAUUAAAAACUAACAUGACUAAUGAAACAACUAGACAGAUACACGUGGUGUGCCGCGUGUACCUUAUGCUGACGUAUAAAGACUAGAUUUUAACAGUAGAAAUGGAUGGCAUUUUUAACA